rnacentral:rRNA from 1 species
UACGUAGGGUGCAAGCGUUGUCCGGAAUUAUUGGGCGUAAAGAGCUCGUAGGCGGUUUGUUGCGUCUGCUGUGAAAUCCCGAGGCUCAACCUCGGGUCUGCAGUCGAUACGAGCAAACUAGAGUGUUGCAGGGGAGACUGGAAUUCCUGGUGUAGCGGUGAAAUGCGCAGAUAUCAGGAGGAACACCGGUGGCGAAGGCGGGUCUCUGGGCAACAACUGACGCUGAGGAGCGAAAGCGUGGGGAGCGAACAGG